GCGCCAGUUAAAACAUGAGUCACGAGCCGGUAUAGUUGGCUUCCCCAGGCACUCGCCUCCAAAAAAAUGGCCUUACCACAAAGGUCCUACCACCUGCAACUGCACAGAUACCAACUAGAGCUUGGAAUUCAGAGUAGACGACAAUGGGGCUGUACCGAAACGGCGGAACCGACGAACCAGAGCCUGUCGAAGCACCGGUUACCAAGCACCGCAAAACAGCCACCUCUACUCCUCCUUCCUGAAACUCACAUGCACCUGAGAACUC
rnacentral:lncRNA from 1 species